UGGGGAAUAUUGCACAAUGGGGGAAACCCUGAUGCAGCGACGCCGCGUGAACGAAGAAGGUAUUCGUAUCGUAAAGUUCUGUCCUAUGGGAAGAUAAUGACAGUACCAUAGAAGAAAGCUCCGGCAAAAUACGUGCCAGCAGCCGCGGUAAUACGUAUGGAGCGAGCGUUGUCCGGAAUUAUUGGGCGUAAAGGGUACGCAGGCGGUUUAAUAAGUCGAAUGUUAAAGAUCGGGGCUCAACCCCGCAAAGCAUUGGAAACUGAUAAACUUGAGUAGUGGAGAGGAAAGUAGAAUUCCUAGUGUAGUGGUGAAAUACGUAGAUAUUAGGAGGAAUACCAGUAGCGAAGGCGACUUUCUGGACACAAACUGACGCUGAGGUACGAAAGCGUGGGGAGCAAACAGG
rnacentral:rRNA from 1 species